rnacentral:rRNA from 1 species
GAUGAACGCUGGCGGCGUGCCUAAUACAUGCAAGUCGAGCGAACAGACGAGGAGCUUGCUCCUCUGACGUUAGCGGCGGACGGGUGAGUAACACGUGGAUAACCUACCUAUAAGACUGGGAUAACUUCGGGAAACCGGAGCUAAUACCGGAUAAUAUAUUGAACCGCAUGGUUCAAUAGUGAAAGACGGUUUUGCUGUCACUUAUAGAUGGAUCCGCGCCGCAUUAGCUAGUUGGUAAGGUAACGGCUUACCAAGGCAACGAUGCGUAGCCGACCUGGGAGGGUGAUCGUCCACACUGGAACUGAGACACGGUCCAGACUCCUACGGGAGGCAGCAGUAGGGAAUCUUCCGCAAUGGGCGAAAGCUUGACGGAGCCACGCCGCGUGAGUGAUGAAGGUCUUCGGAUCGUAAAACUCUGUUAUUAGGGAAGAACAAAUGUGUAAGUACCUAUGCACGUCUUGACGGUACCUAAUCAGAAAGCCACGGCUAACUACGUG